UACGGGGGGGGCAAGCGUUGUUCGGAAUUACUGGGCGUAAAGGGCUCGUAGGCGGCCAACUAAGUCAGACGUGAAAUCCCUCGGCUUAACCGGGGAACUGCGUCUGAUACUGGAUGGCUUGAGUUCGGGAGAGGGAUGCGGAAUUCCAGGUGGAGCGGUGAAAUGCGUAGAUAUCUGGAGGAACACCGGUGGCGAAAGCGGCUCACUGGAUCGAUACUGACGCUGAGGUGCGAAAGCUAGGGUAGCAAACGGG
rnacentral:rRNA from 1 species